CAGAGCGCGACAACUUGAGAUUUUGGCUUAAAAGAUCAAUUUACAGCAUACACUUGAAAUUAAUUUUUUAAAUUUUGAUUUAGGCGAAAAUAAAACAUUAUUAUUUUCAAUUUGAUUUUUACAAACCAUGAAUAUCAGUAAAAUUGAUUAGUUUUUUCAAUUAUGUGAGCAUAAACAGACAGUUCGUUAUUAAUAUAUGAUCCCUGAUCAAAUGACUUUCAAUUGUAGCAAAUAUAUAAACAAAUCUCAAGUCUAAUUUGCCUGGUGUCAACUAAUUUUUAAUUUUUCAAUUGUGUCAAUCAGACAAUUUUGUGGCCAAAGUAGUUUCUUAAUUAUCAAUAAUGGCUGGUGGCAGUGAACAUGUCGAUGAAUCUCAAUUUACUGGAAUGUCAAAAUAUUUCAAUUCCUAUACUAAUACUGGACGUCGAAAUUGUUCCAUUCUUACUCUUAGUGUCACAGCUGGUUUGAUACUUUAUUUCACUAAAUUUAGGAAAUCAGGAAAGCAAGAAGCCAAGAAAUAAUUGGUUCAUAUGGAUCACAAUUUUGAUUAGUUUUGUGUUUUAGCUUUUAUCAAAGCUUAUUUAAAAGCGCAAUCGGAUAUUAUUUAUUGGUACAAACAAUGGAAGUUCUGUCUAUGCGAAAAAAAGUUACUGUUAAUAUUAAUAGAGUUAUGUAAUAAACUUGUUUCUAUUACACUA